rnacentral:rRNA from 1 species
AUUGAACGCUGGCGGCAGGCCUAACACAUGCAAGUCGAGCGGAUGAAGGGAGCUUGCUCCUGGAUUCAGCGGCGGACGGGUGAGUAAUGCCUAGGAAUCUGCCUGGUAGUGGGGGAUAACGUCCGGAAACGGGCGCCAAUACCGCAUACGUCCUGAGGGAGAAAGUGUGGGAUCUUCGGACCUCACGCUAUCAGAUGAGCCUAGGUCGGAUUAGCUAGUUGGUGGGGUAAAGGCCUACCAAGGCGACGAUCCGUAACUGGUCUGAGAGGAUGAUCAGUCACACUGGAACUGAGACACGGUCCAGACUCCUACGGGAGGCAGCAGUGGGGAAUAUUGGACAAUGGGCGAAAGCCUGAUCCAGCCAUGCCGCGUGUGUGAAGAAGGUCUUCGGAUUGUAAAGCACUUUAAGUUGGGAGGAAGGGCAGUAAGUUAAUACCUUGCUGUUUUGACGUUACCAACAGAAUAAGCACCGGCUAACUUCGUG